rnacentral:rRNA from 1 species
ACCUCCGGACUGGGGUUCGCAAGCUUCACGGCGAACGUACCUCGGGAAGUUGGUUAAAUCUCACUAUUUAGAGGAAGGUGAAGUCGUAACAAGGUCUCCGUAGGUGAACCUGCAGAAGGAUC